UAGGGAAUAUUGGUCAAUGGAUGGAAGUCUGAACCAGCCAUGCCGCGUGCAGGAAGAAGGCGUUAUGCGUUGUAAACUGCUUUUGCCAGGGGAUAAAAAGGGAGUGCGCUCCUUAUUGAAGGUACCUGGUGAAUAAGCCACGGCUAACUACGUGCCAGCAGCCGCGGUAAUACGUAGGUGGCAAGCGUUGUCCGGAUUUAUUGGGUUUAAAGGGUGCGUAGGCGGCUUUUUAAGUCAGUGGUGAAAUAUCUCAGCUUAACUGAGAGGGUGCCAUUGAUACUGGAGAGCUUGAGUACAGACGAGGUAGGCGGAAUUGACGGUGUAGCGGUGAAAUGCAUAGAUAUCGUCAAGAACACCGAUAGUGAAGACAGCUUACUAGGCUGUAACUGACGCUGAGGCACGAAAGUGUGGGGAUCAAAC
rnacentral:rRNA from 1 species